rnacentral:rRNA from 1 species
UACGGAGGGUGCAAGCGUUAAUCGGAAUUACUGGGCGUAAAGCGCACGCAGGUGGCUGAGUCAGUCGAUUGUGAAAGCCCUGGGCUUAACCUGGGAAUUGCAGUCGAUACUACUCAGCUAGAGUAUGGGAGAGGGCAGUGGAAUUCCCGGUGUAGCGGUGAAAUGCGCAGAUAUCGGGAGGAACACCAAUGGCGAAGGCAGCUCGCUGGGACGUUACUGACGCUGAGACGCGAAAGCGUGGGGAGCAAACAGG